AACGAACGCUGGCGGCAUGCCUAACACAUGCAAGUCGAACGGGAUACCUAGCUUGCUAGGUGAGAGUGGCGGACGGGUGAGUAACACGUGGGAAUCUGCCUUUUGGUUCGGGAUAACCGCGGGAAACUGCGGCUAAUACCGAAUGCCCUCGAGAGAGGAAGAUUUAUCGCCAGAAGAGGAGCCCGCGUCCGAUUAGGUAGUUGGUGGGGUAAAGCCUACCAAGCCGACGAUCGGUAGCUGGUCUGAGAGGAUGAUCAGCCACACUGGGACUGAGAUACGGCCCAGACUCCUACGGGAGGCAGCAGUGGGGAAUA
rnacentral:rRNA from 1 species